GGUGAGUAACACGUAAGUAACCUACCUUUAAGACGAGGAUAACAAUCGGAAACGGUUGCUAAGACUGGAUAGGAAACAGAAAGGCAUCUUUUUGUUUUUAAAAGACCUUCUUCGGAGGGUAUGCUUAAAGAGGGGCUUGCGCCACAUUAGUUAGUUGGUGAGGUAAAGGCUUACCAAGAUUAUGAUGUGUAGCUGGACUGAGAGGUUGAACAGCCACAUUGGGACUGAGACACGGCCCAAACUCCUACGGGAGGCAGCAGUAGGGAAUUUUCGGCAAUGGAGGAAACUCUGACCGAGCGACGCCGCGUGAACGAUGAAGUAUUUCGGUAUGUAAAGUUCUUUUAUUGAAGAAGAAAAAAUAGUGGAAAAACUAUCUUGACGUUAUUCAAUGAAUAAGCCCCGGCUAACUAUGUGCCAGCAGCCGCGGUAAGACAUAGGGGGCGAGCGUUAUCCGGAAUUAUUGGGCGUAAAGGGUGCGUAGGCGGUUAGAUAAGUCUAUAAUUUAAUUUCAGUGCUUAACGCUGUCUUGUUAUAGAAACUGUCUUGACUAGAGUGAGAUAGAGGCAAGCGGAAUUCCAUGUGUAGCGGUAAAAUGUGUAAAUAUAUGGAGGAACACCAGAAGCGUAGGCGGCUUGCUGGGUCUUUACUGACGGUGAGGCACGAAAGCGUGGGGAGCAAACAGGAUUAGAUACCCUGGUAGUCCACGCUGUAAACGAUGAGUACUAAGUGUCGGGGUAACUCGGUACUGAAGUUAACACAUUAAGUACUCCGCCUGAGUAGUACGUACGCAAGUAUGAAACUUAAAGGAAUUGACGGGACUCCGCACAAGCGGUGGAUCAUGUUGUUUAAUUCGAAGAUACACGAAAAACCUUACCAGGUCUUGACAUACUCUGCAAAGCUAUAGAAAUAUAGUGGAGGUUAUCAGGGAUACAGGUGGUGCAUGGUUGUCGUCAGUUCGUGUCGUGAGAUGUUAGGUUAAGUCCUAAAACGAACGCAACCCCUGUCGCUAGUUGCCAGCACGUAAUGGUGGGGACUUUAGCGAGACUGCCAAUUAAACAUUGGAGGAAGGUGGGGAUAACGUCAAAUCAUCAUGCCCCUUAUGAUCUGGGCUACAAACGUGAUACAAUGGCUAUUACAAAGAGUAGCUGAAACGCGAGUUUUUAGCCAAUCUCAAAAAGGUAGUCUCAGUACGGAUUGAAGUCUGCAACUCGACUUCAUGAAGCUGGAAUCGCUAGUAAUCGCGAAUCAGCAUGUCGCGGUGAAUACGUUCUCGGGGUUUGUACACACCGCCCGUCAAACCACGAAAGUUAGCAAUACCCGAAAGCAGUGGCUUAACUUCGCAAGAAGAGGGAGCUGUCUAAGGUAGGGUUGAUGAUUGGGGUUAAGUCGUAACAAGGUAUCCUUACCGGAAGGUGAGGAUGGAUCACCUCCUUUCUAA
rnacentral:rRNA from 1 species